CAAUAGCGUAUAUUUAAGUUGUUGCAGUUAAAAAGCUCGUAGUUGGAUUUCGGAUGGGACUUGCCGGUCCGUCGUUUCGAUGUGCACUGGCCAGUCCUAUCUUGUUGUCGGGGACUAGCUCCUGGGCUUCACUGUCCGGGACUAGGAGCUGACGAGGUUACUUUGAGUAAAUUAGAGUGUUCAAAGCAAGCCUACGCUCUGAAUACAUUAGCAUGGAAUAACACGAUAGGACUCUGGCUUAUCUUGUUGGUCUGUGAGACCAGAGUAAUGAUUAAGAGGGACAGUCGGGGGCAUUCGUAUUUCAUUGUCAGAGGUGAAAUUCUCGGAUUUAUGAAAGACGAACUUCUGCGAAAGCAUUUGUCAAGGAUGUUUNCAUUA
rnacentral:rRNA from 1 species